rnacentral:rRNA from 1 species
GACGAACGCUGGCGGCGUGGAUUAGGCAUGCAAGUCGAACGGUAUCAUCCUUUCGGGGGUGAGAGAGUGGCGAACUGGUGAGUAACACGUAGGUUAUCUACCCUCAAGACGGGGACAACCCAGGGAAACUUGGGCUAAUACCGGAUGUGAGCAACUUUUAGUUGUUUGAAAGGUGGCGUAAGCUGUCGCUUGGGGAUGAGCCUGCGUCCUAUUAGUUAGUUGGUGAGGUAACGGCUCACCUAGGCAAUGAUAGGUAGGCGGCCUUAACGGGUGGUCGCCCACACUGGGAUUGAGAUACGGCCCAGACGUCCUACGGGAGGCAGCAGUCGAGAAUAGUCUACAAUGGUCGGAAGACUGAUAGUCGCGACGCCGCGUGAACGAUGAAUCCCUUCGGGGUGUAAAGUUCUUUUAUAUGUGAGCAGUGCUUCUUAUAUUAACAGUAUGGGGAGAGAGAUAUUAGCAUAUGAAUAAGCAACGGCUAACUCCGUGCCAGCAGCCGCGGU